UAUGUGAUCGUCUCUCGCAUAUCAAUAAGCGGAGGAAAAGAAACUAACAAGGAUUCCCCUAGUAACGGCGAGUGAAGCGGGAAGAGCUCAAAUUUGAAAUCUUAAAGGGUUUCCCUUUACGAAUUGUAGUUUAAAGAAGUGUUUUCUGUUGAGGUUUUGGUAAAAGUUCUUUGGAAUAGGACAUCAUAGAGGGUGAGAAUCCCGUAUUUGACCUUUACUUUCAACUUUGUGAUACACUUUCAAAGAGUCGGAUUGUUUGGGAAUGCAGUCCAAAAUGGGUGGUAAAUUUCAUCUAAAGCUAAAUAUUGGCGAGAGACCGAUAGCGAACAAGUACCGUGAGGGAAAGAUGAAAGGAACUUUGAAAAGAGAGUUAAACAGUACGUGAAAUUGUCAAAAGGGAAGCGUUUGACACCAGUGUUGUUUUUCUGAAAAUCAAUUAAAGAACUGUUUAUGCUAAGCUGUUUAGACUUUAUCAGCUAUCUGUUUAGUUUUGAGCUUUUCUUUAAUGCACUUUUCAGUUAACAAGUCAACAUCAAUUUCUUUUGCUGUAAAAAAGCUUGAGGAAGGUGGCUUGAGAUUCGUCUUAAGUGUUUAUAGCCUCUUGCCUAUGCAGUCGGAGAGAUUGAGGUCUGCAGCGUAGAUCCUUCGGGGCUAAAUGCAUUUGUGCUAAGUUAUAGCAUUUUAUAGACAACUUGUUGACUAUGAUUUGUCUUGUAGCUUACUCGCUUAUGUUAUUUUACCUACGCUUAGGAUGUUGAGCGCAUGUCUCUCUCU
rnacentral:rRNA from 1 species